rnacentral:rRNA from 1 species
AGAGUUUGAUCCUGGCUCAGGAUGAACGCUGGCGGCGUGCCUAAUACAUGCAAGUCGAGCGAACGGACGAGAAGCUUGCUUCUCUGAUGUUAGCGGCGGACGGGUGAGUAACACGUGGAUAACCUACCUAUAAGACUGGGAUAACUUCGGGAAACCGGAGCUAAUACCGGAUAAUAUUUUGAACCGCAUGGUUCAAAAGUGAAAGACGGUCUUGCUGUCACUUAUAGAUGGAUCCGCGCUGCAUUAGCUAGUUGGUAAGGUAACGGCUUACCAAGGCAACGAUGCAUAGCCGACCUGAGAGGGUGAUCGGCCACACUGGAACUGAGACACGGUCCAGACUCCUACGGGAGGCAGCAGUAGGGAAUCUUCCGCAAUGGGCGAAAGCCUGACGGAGCAACGCCGCGUGAGUGAUGAAGGUCUUCGGAUCGUAAAACUCUGUUAUUAGGGAAGAACAUAUGUGUAAGUAACUGUGCACAUCUUGACGGUACCUAAUCAGAAAGCCACGGCUAACUACGUGCCAGCAGCCGCGGUAAUACGUAGGUGGCAAGCGUUAUCCGGAAUUAUUGGGCGUAAAGCGCGCGUAGGCGGUUUUUUAAGUCUGAUGUGAAAGCCCACGGCUCAACCGUGGAGGGUCAUUGGAAACUGGAAAACUUGAGUGCAGAAGAGGAAAGUGGAAUUCCAUGUGUAGCGGUGAAAUGCGCAGAGAUAUGGAGGAACACCAGUGGCGAAGGCGACUUUCUGGUCUGUAACUGACGCUGAUGUGCGAAAGCGUGGGGAUCAAACAGGAUUAGAUACCCUGGUAGUCCACGCCGUAAACGAUGAGUGCUAAGUGUUAGGGGGUUUCCGUCCCCUUAGUGCUGCAGCUAACGCAUUAAGCACUCCGCCUGGGGAGUACGACCGCAAGGUUGAAACUCAAAGGAAUUGACGGGGACCCGCACAAGCGGUGGAGCAUGUGGUUUAAUUCGAAGCAACGCGAAGAACCUUACCAAAUCUUGACAUCCUUUGACAACUCUAGAGAUAGAGCCUUCCCCUUCGGGGGACAAAGUGACAGGUGGUGCAUGGUUGUCGUCAGCUCGUGUCGUGAGAUGUUGGGUUAAGUCCCGCAACGAGCGCAACCCUUAAGCUUAGUUGCCAUCAUUAAGUUGGGCACUCUAAGUUGACUGCCGGUGACAAACCGGAGGAAGGUGGGGAUGACGUCAAAUCAUCAUGCCCCUUAUGAUUUGGGCUACACACGUGCUACAAUGGACAAUACAAAGGGCAGCGAAACCGCGAGGUCAAGCAAAUCCCAUAAAGUUGUUCUCAGUUCGGAUUGUAGUCUGCAACUCGACUACAUGAAGCUGGAAUCGCUAGUAAUCGUAGAUCAGCAUGCUACGGUGAAUACGUUCCCGGGGUCUUGUACACACCGCCCGUCACACCACGAGAGUUUGUAACACCCGAAGCCGGUGGAGUAACCUUUUAGGAGCUAGCCGUCGAAGGUGGGACAAAUGAUUGGGGUGAAGUCGUAACAAGGUAGCCGUAUCGGAAGGUGCGGCUGGAUCACCU